UGGCUUCUGCUCAGUGCGGGACGCCAACUUCUGUCAUGUACCGGCUGCGUCUCUGGUCCCUAUGGCCCCUCCUCACGUGACAACUACUGUGACUACUAGUCCAGGAGGCUCAGCCUCUGGAGUGGGUCCAGGGCCCACUCCAGCUGACCUCCGACCCCCUGAGGCCAACUGAGCCCUGGGCUUGGCGCUCCUCCGAUCUCCCCCCGGAACCUCCCUAUGCGUUUAUCCACCCCCACCCCCAUACAGACCCGGGAGCUUUGAUAACCUGAGGUCCUCUACUGCCACCCAGAUGUCAGCCUCGCCUCAGGAACCGACUGAGACUUUGGUUCCAUUUCUGGACACAGAUUCAGCUGGAGAGCUGCCCCUGGGGCCAGAGAAGUUCGCUGUUGCACACCAGGAUCUGAAUGAUAAGCUGACUCACAAGAAAGGCUCCCAGAGUUGGUUCCAAUGCUAGACUGGGAUCAGAACCAGACGGUAGCUCGGCCUCUUUGCCUCAAAAGUAAGGUUCAAACUGUAAGUCUAGAUCAGGCUGCAGAUCAUUAGGCAUAUGAAAUACUUGUUCCACCUCUAGAUAGUCAGAAUUCAAAAGCAAUGAAGAUUAGUGUUUCACCCAAAAACCUGAAGAAGAAAGAUCUACCUAAGCAUCGGAGGCUUGCUAAGGUUGUUGUUGGAACUCCACACCGAUUUGUAUCAAAACCUCAGUGUCAGAAACAAACUUUACAAGCAUUUAGUAUUUAGAUUCAGGUAUGGAUAUACUGUAUCUGGGCAGCCUUCCUCCAGAAGUCCAGGUGAAAGAUGAGCCUCCAGGGCCCCAUGAGCAAGUUGGACUUUUGCCAAUUCUAUCUAGAGCCCGAAACUCAAAAUCCACAGACCCUCCAAGAGAUCCAGUCAUCUUCACUCCAGCAAGAAGCCCCAGCACAGCUUCCACAGGUCCCUGAAUACGUAGAAACUUCUUCAACCCCGUAGGAGGCCCCAGCUCUUCCUUCUCAGUCCCUUAAGGGGGUCCAUUCUUCAACAGAGCAGGAGGCCCCAACACAGCUGCUACCUGCCCUGAAGAGAUUGUAGCUCAGUUAUGAAUACGUUAUCAGGUAAAUGUUGCAUUAAAAAGUUGGAGUGAGGCCAGGUGCAGUGGCUUACACCUGUAGUCCUAGCACUUUGGGAGGCCAAAGAGGGUGGAUAACCUGAGAUCAGGAGUUCGAGACUAUCCUGACCAACAUGGUGAAACCCUGUCUCUACUAAAAAUACAAAAGUUUGCUGGGUGUAGUGGUGAGCACCUGUAAUCCCAGCUACUCAGGAGGCUGAGGAAGGAGAAUCGCUUGAACCUGGGAGGUGGAGGUUGCAAUGAGCUGAGAUUGCACCAUUGCACUCCAGCCUGGGCGACAGAGUGAGACUCCAUCUCAAACAAACAAAAAAAGUUGGAGUGAAGCUCAUCACUCACACUUGCCCAAUGUAACAGUCAAACUUGUGGAUUUGGAGCUUACAAUAAGUCCAAAGCCAGAUAAGAAACUUACAUCAAGCCGGGAACAGGCCACAACUCAGCCUCCAGAGCACCCUGAGAAGAUGGACCCUUCCUCAACCCAAUUAGAGGACCCAGCUUAGACACCAGAGUGCCCUGAGGAGAUGAAAUCUACAACCCAGCACAGGACCCCAGCUGAGCCUCCAGUUCCUCCUAUGGAGGCCAGACCUUCUCCAAGUGAGCAGGAACAGCCAGCUCAGCCUUCUGAGUUUCCUGGGGAGGUUGAACCUUCCCAGACCCAGCAGGAGGCCACCGCUCAGCCUCCAAAGUUCUCUAUGGAGAGUGCAUAUCAAACUGCACUGAAUUAUGAGGUGACAGUUCAAACUCAGGGUGAGGAUCAAGCUCAUUAUACAAAUGACAGUUAAACCUGUGGAUGUAGAGAUUACCAUAACUUCAGAGCCUAUCAAAGAGACUAAAUAUUCUGCAGCCCAGCAGGAGGUCCCAACCCAGCCUCCAGAGGGAGUGGAAACUUCUGCAAACCAACAGGAUUUAACUGAGGCUCCAAGUCCUGUGGAGGAUGAAUCUCCCCCGAGUGAGCAAGAACAGACAGCUCAGACUUCUGAGUCUUCAGGGGAGGUUGAAUCGUCUCCAGCCCAGCACGAGACCCCAGCUCAGCCUCCAGAACAUCAUGAAGUAAAAGUUUCACCUCCAGGUCACCAUAAAGCUCAGCAUUCAGAUUUGCCCAUUGUCACUGUUAAGCCUCCAGUUAUGCAGCUCACCAUAGCAACAGAGCCUACUGCAGAGGUGGGAACUUCUCCAAUCCACCAGGAGGCUACAGCUUAGCUCUCAGGGGCAGUUAAUGAUGUGGAACCUUCCAUGACCCAGCACGGGGGCCCAACUCUGCCUCCAUAGUCAUCAGAAGAUGACUUUACCAGUUCAACAGGAGACUUCAGUUCAAUCUCCAGCUAUUAAAGAUGAGAACCUCUCUCCAGCCCAGCAGAAGGCUGCUGCUGAGUAUCCACAGAUGCCUGAGGAGGUUGAGUCUUCUCCAACACAGCAAUAGACCCCAGCUCAGCCUUCAGAGAUCCCUAUUGAAGUUAUAGCUAAUCUCCAGUGCAUCAUGAGGUAACAGUUUCUCUAAGUCAUGAUCAAGUUCAGCCUCCAACAUUGCACAAUGACACUGUGAAACCUGUGGAUCACAUGGUAACCAUGACUCCAGAGUUCACCUAACAGGUUGAAAUUUUAACCAAACACAGGGCCCCAGCUCAGUCCUCAAUGUCCCCUUAGCAGUUUCAGCAUUUGAAAGACCAGCAAGAAAUGAUUAUUCAGCAGCUAAAUACCCCUGAAAAUGAUGAACUUCCUCCAGUCCCUCAAGAGCCCACAACUCAGUCACCAGCUCAGACUUUGUAAGGUCAUUGAAUGAUGAGAUGGUAUUUUCACCUCUAGAUCUAUCUUUAAUAUUCAGAAAUAAUUCAACUUUCCCUAAUACCACAUUUAAAAAUAUGGAUAUGGACCUCACCAUACCUACAGAAGUCACUAUGGAGGUUGAACCUUCCCCAGUCCAGCAGGACAAUCCUCCUAUUCCCACUGAGUAGGCUGACUUUUCUCCAACCCAGCAUGAUACCCCUUCCCCACCUCUGGAUUCUCCAGAAAAGAUUGAAUCUCCAUCACAGCAAGAGGCCACAGCUCAGACCCCAGAUUCCCCUAAAGGGGUGGAUUUUCUCCAGUCCAGCAAGAGUCCCCAGCUGAGGCACCAGAGCUCCCUAAGGAGGUUGAACCACUGCAACCCAGCAGGAAGCCUCAGGUCAUCCUCCAAAGUCCACUGCAGAGGUCAGUCCACCAUAGCUGGAGAUACCAGCUCAGCCAUCAGCCACCUGAGAAGGUCAAACCAUCUUCAGUCCUACAGCAGGCCUCAACUCAGCUUUUAGAGCCACCUGAAGAGGUAGAAUGCUCUCCAGUCCAGUAGACAGUGCCUGCUCAGUCUUCAGAGCCCCCUAUGGUGGUAGAAUCCUCUUCGACAGAGCAGAUGGCCCCAUCUUUGCCUCCAAAUCUCCCUCAGGAGGUGGAACCAUCUCUGACUCAUCAGGAGGUUCCAACUCAGACUCCAGAGCCCCCUAUGGAGACAGAACCUUCUCCAGCUCAGCAGGAGGCCACAGUUCAGGCUCCAGAGCCUCCUAAGGAGGCAGAACCUUCAAGUCAGCAGAUGGUCCCAGCUCAGCUUCCAGAGCCCCCUAAGGGGGUUGCAGCUCAACCUCUAAUGCAUUAUGAGAUGACAAUUGUAACAGCAAGCCAGGACCAAGCUCAGUAUCCAGCAUUAUGAGAUGACAAUUCCAACAGCAAGCCAAAACCAAGCUCAGUAUCCGGUAUCACCCAGUGUCACAUUUCAACAUUUACACCUGGAGCUUACCAUAACUCCAGAACCCACUAUGGAGGCUGAGCAUUCUAUAAUGCUGAGGAUGACUACAGCUCCUCCAAAACACCCUGAGGUGACCCUUCCACCUUCAGACCAUGUGCAGGCUCAGCACACAAACCUGAGGCCACAGUGCAACCUUUGGAUCUGAAAUUUACCACGAAUCAACAACCUACUACAGAGAGUAUAUUUUCUCCAACCAUGGAGAAUUCAACUCAGCUUCCAGAGCCACCUAUGGAGGUUGUAACUCAACCUCCAGCUCAUUAUGAGGUGACAGUUCCAAUACAAGAUCAGGAUCAAGCUCCGCAUUCAAUACUGGCCAGUGUCACACUUCAACCUUUGGACCUGGGGCUUACCAUCGCUCCAGAAUCCACUACAAAGGUUGAACUUUCUCCAGCCAUGCAGGAGGCCGCAACUUAGCAUCCUCAGGAAGUUACACCUUAACCUCCAGUAUUUCAAGAGGUAACAAUUUCAACACCAGGUCAGGAUCAAUCUCAGCAUUGAAUAUCACCCAUCAUUAUAGUUAAACCUCUGGACCUGGGACUUACCAUAACUCCAGAACCCACUUCAGAGGUUGAACAUUCUACACCCCUGAAGAAGACUAUAGUUCCUCCAAAGCACCCUGAGGUGACACUUCCACAUCCACACCAGGUUCAGACUUAGCAUUCAAACCUGACUCAAGUCACAUUUCAGCCUUUGGAUCUGAAACUUACCUUAACUCCAGAAUCCUCUAUGGAGGUUGAGCCUUCUUCAACCAUGCAUAAGACCCCAACUCAGCCUCCAGAGCUACCUAAGCAGGUUGUAGUUCACCCUCCUGGGUAUUAUUAUGAGAUGUCUCUUCCAACAGAAGGCCAGGAUCAAGCUAAUCAUCCAACCUCACCCAGUGUCACAGUUCAACCUUUGGAUCUGGGGCUUACCGUUACUCCACAAUUCACUACAAAGGUUGAACCUUCUAGAGCCAUGAUGACUACAGCUCCUCUGCCAAAGCACCCUAAGGUGACACUUCCACCACGAGACAAAGGUCAAUGCUCAGUAUUCAAACCAGACCCAAGUCACAGUUCAACUUUUGGACUUGGAACUUACCAUAAAUACAGAACCUACUACAGGGGUGAAACUUUUCCAACCACAGAGGAGACCUCAACUCAGCCUCCAGACCUGGGGCUUGCCAUAACUCUAGACCCCAUACAGACAUUGAACAUUCUACAGCCCUGGACAAGACUGCAGCUUCACGUCCAGACCAGGUUCAGACUCAGCUUCAAAACCUGACUGAAGUCAGAGGUCCACCUUUCAACUAGAACCUACUCAGGAUUCAUUGGUUCAGUCUGAAAGUUACACCCAAAAUAAGGCUUUAACUGCACAAGAGGAACAGAAGGCCUCCACAAGCACCAACAUAUGUGAUCUCUGUACCUGCGGAGAUGAGACGCUGUCAUGUAUUGACAUCAGCCCAAAGCAGAGGCUCCGCCAAGUGCCUGUGCCAGAGCCUAGCACCUACAAUGGCAUCUUCACCAUC
rnacentral:lncRNA from 1 species